GAUGAACGCUGGCGGCGUGCCUAAUACAUGCAAGUCGAGCGAACAGACGAGGAGCUUGCUCCCCUGACGUUAGCGGCGGACGGGUGAGUAACACGUGGAUAACAUACCUAUAAGACUGGGAUAAUAUCGGGAAACCAGAUCUACUAACGGAUAAUAUAUCGAACCGGAUGGUUCAAUAGUGAAAGACGCUUUUGGUGUCACUAAUAGACGAAUCCGCGCCGCAUUAGUUAGUUGGUAAGGUAACGGCUUAGCAAGGCGACGAUGCGUAGCCGACCUGAGAGGGUGAUCAGACACACUGGAACUGAGACACGGUCCAGACUCCUACGGGAGGCAGCAGUAGGGAAUCUUCCGCAAUGGGCGAAAGCCUGAUGGAGCAACACCGCGUGAGUGAUGAAGGUCUUCGGCUCGUAAAGCGCUGUUGUUAGGAAAGAACAAAAGCGUAUUUAACUAUGCACGUCUUGACGGUACCUAAAGAAAAAGCCACGGCUAACUACGUG
rnacentral:rRNA from 1 species